GAUCGCGUAGCUCAGCGGUAGAGCAUCUGACUUUUAAUCAGAGGGUCCCGGGUUCGAUCCCCGGCGCGAUCACCA
rnacentral:tRNA from 1 species